UAUGCCAUUUCUGCAGAAUACCAGAUUAGGUGUCCGUUACUCGGGGAGAUGGUUACUGAUGCUUAGCUCGGUGAGUUGUGCGUUUAUGAGCACAACUCGGAGGYUGGGCUGAGGAUCCCGUUGGUUGAGGGGUUCGUCGAGGUGCUAAACUGGUACAAGGUGUUGUCGAUGCAGCUGAUGCCAAACUUCUUUAAAUUUUUGCUCGACCUCAUGUCUUAUUUUGUGGUGUGCAACAUUGAUCUGACCCUGGGGAUGGGGAGUUUUAUGCUCCAGCUGAAACACCACCAGUAGGGGGUACUACUAUUUCUCCACUCGGUGAAACAUUCGGUCAUUGGUCAGAGCCCCUUCUUCAGUAAAGCACCGGAAGGAAUCUUUCUUCUUCGUGCGAAUCCCUGGGGGUCUCCCAUUUCCUACUGGGCUACGGAGACCGAGGACGUCUUUACCGUAGCCCCAAUGGUCAACGCAUACUUGGGAGGAGAGGUCGGCCUUGAGCAUGAUCCAUGAAAUCGACGUUAUAGCGUACACAUGCUCAGAGAUGUUGAUGCUCGUUGGGUUGAUGGAGGGGGUGGCCGGUGCGAACAUGGUCAGCGAGGAACUUUGUUCAUCGGAUGAGGGCUCUUCGACAAAGGUAGGAAUGAGUCGGUGUGCCAUCGAUGGCUUGCCCCGAGGCAGAUGAGCGGCUACAACUCGAAGAUGGGGUGGCCUAUCAACGAAGAAGGGUUCAACAACGAGAGGCCAAGGAGGAUGACAUUGUUGUGGUUGACCUCAAGGGGUCAGUUGUCCUACAGGUACAUCGGUGACCAAGGUAGGUAACAGUUCAAGUCUACAUGUGUCGAGGUGGUUGGUUCGUAUGGACGACAAUCUAGAGACUCCCAGGGUUCUCGAGUAGUUGUUGUGAGGGAAUAUGACCAUGUCUAUAGCUCGGGAGUCGGUCGGGGUUGGUAGUGGAGCAUUGGAGUGUGUUCUGCUUUUGUUUGCCGCCAAGAAUGCUUGCACGGCGGUUGCUCUAGUUGAUUGUCUUUGGGACGUUCGAUCGACGUACGAGCGGGAACAUUCAGAGUACCUAUGGAAAAAGGCCCAAUUGGCCGAGCUCCAGGCUGUUGGGGAAUAAUCGGUUACACUGGAGAGGGAAGUGGCUGAGCUGAAGGUGCAACUGGCUGAGCAGGAUGGUCUUGUCCAAGAGUUGAAGCGAGAGAUCGCCGAGUUGAAGGCUGAACGAGGCAGGCUAAGGCAGGAGGCUACUGAGGAAGCCAUCACUGAGUAAGGAGAUGCAGUUGUAUAUGGAUGAGUAUGCUGAGGCCUCCAUUGUGGUCGGGUCUUCGUCGUUGCCUGGAGUUGGCCGAGGAAUCACAAGGCUGGGACACUUUCGACCAAACUUCUUCGCAAGAAUUUGUUGAGGGAGCUGAGGAUGAGGCUGAAAACACCGUUGACACUGUUGAUUCUACUGCCGAUGACUAAUCGUCAGCCUUAAAUGUCCAUUAUUCUUGUUUUGGUGUUGUGUUGCUUCUCUCYUUUUUAGUUGGCUUGG